AAAGGAAUUGACGGGGGCCCGCACAAGCGGUGGAGCAUGUGGUUUAAUUCGAUGAUACGCGAGGAACCUUACCAGGGCUUAAAUGUAGACCGACAGGGGUGGAAACACCCCCUUUUUCGAACGGUCUACAAGGUGCUGCAUGGUUGUCGUCAGCUCGUGCUGUGAAGUGUCGGGUUAAGUCCCAUAACGAGCGCAACCCCUAUUUCUAGUUGCCAGCGGUUCGGCCGGGGACUCUAGACGAAACUGCCAGCGUAAGCUGUGAGGAAGGUGGGGAUGACGUCAAAUCAUCACGGCCCUUACGUCCUGGGCCACACACGUGCUACAAUGGCCGGUACAGAGAGCAGCUACCACGUGAGUGGAUGCGAAUCUCCAAAGCCGGUCUCAGUUCGGAUCGAAGUCUGCAACUCGACUUCGUGAAGUUGGAUUCGCUAGUAAUCGUAUAUCAGCAAUGAUACGGUGAAUACGUUCCCGGGCCUUGUACACACCGCCCGUCAAA
rnacentral:rRNA from 1 species